rnacentral:rRNA from 1 species
CCUACGGGAGGCAGCAGUAGGGAAUAUUGCUCAAUGGGGGAAACCCUGAAGCAGCAACGCCGCGUGAUCGAGACGCCCUUCGGGUAGUAAAGAUCUGUCAGUGGGGACGAAACUUGACGGUACCCACAGAGGAAGCACCGGCUAACUCCGUGCCAGCAGCCGCUGUAAUACGGGGGACGCAAGCGUGUUCCGGAAUCAUUGGGCGAUAAGAGGUGGUAGGCGGCACGUAAAGUCUGGUGUUAAAGGCAGAGGCUCAACUUCUGUACGGCACUGUCGACGUGCGAGCCAGAAUGAGGUAGAGGGAAAGGGAAGUCCGGGUGUAGCGGUGAAAUGCUUAGAUAUCAGGAGGAACAUCGGUGGCGUAAGCGCAUUACUGGGCCGUAAUUGACGCUGAGGAACGAAAGCCAGGGUAGCAAAUGGGAUUAGAUACCCCAGUAGU